UACGAAGGGGGCUAGCGUUGCUCGGAAUCACUGGGCGUAAAGGCUCGUAGGCGGCCAACUAAGUCAGACGUGAAAUCCCCAGGCUCAACCUGGGAACUGCGCUUGAGACUGGCACGCUCGAGUUCGGGAGAGGAUGGUGGAAUUCCCAGUGUAGAGGUGAAAUUCGUAGAUAUUGGGAAGAACACCGAUGGCGAAGGCAGCCAUCUGGACCGACACUGACGCUGAGGCGCGAAAGCGUGGGAGCAAACAGG
rnacentral:rRNA from 1 species